rnacentral:rRNA from 1 species
AUUGAACGCUGGCGGCAGGCCUAACACAUGCAAGUCGAACGGUAGCACAGAGAGCUUGCUCUCGGGUGACGAGUGGCGGACGGGUGAGUAACGUCUGGGAAACUGCCCGAUGGAGGGGGAUAACUACUGGAAACGGUAGCUAAUACCGCAUAACGUCGCAAGACCUAAGUGGGGGACCUUCGGGCCUCACACCAUCGGAUGUGCCCAGAUGGGAUUAGCUAGUAGGUGGGGUAAUGGCUCACCUAGGCGACGAUCCCUAGCUGGUCUGAGAGGAUGACCAGCCACACUGGAACUGAGACACGGUCCAGACUCCUACGGGAGGCAGCAGUGGGGAAUAUUGCACAAUGGGCGCAAGCCUGAUGCAGCCAUGCCGCGUGUAUGAAGAAGGCCUUCGGGUUGUAAAGUACUUUCAGCGGGGAGGAAGGCGGUGAAGUUAAUAACUUCACCGAUUGACGUUACCCGCAGAAGAAGCACCGGUUAACUCCGUGCCAGCCGCCGCGGUAA